UACAGAGGGGGCAAGCGUUGUUCGGAAUUACGGGGCGUAAAGAGCGCGCAGGCGGUCGUCCAAGUCGCGUGUGAAAGCCCCCGGCUCAACUGGGGAGGGUCACGCGAUACUGGUCGACUCGAAGGCAGGAGAGGGUAGUGGAAUUCCCGGUGUAGUGGUGAAAUGCGUAGAUAUCGGGAGGAACACCAGUGGCGAAGGCGACUACCUGGCCUGUUCUUGACGCUGAGGCGCGAAAGCUAGGGGAGCAAACGGG
rnacentral:rRNA from 1 species